rnacentral:misc_RNA from 1 species
GAUGAAGAACGUAGCGAAAUGCGAUACUUGGUGUGAAUUGCAGAAUCCCGUGAACCAUCGAGUCUUUGAACGCAAGUUGCGCCCGAAGCCAUUAGGCCGAGGGCACGCCUGCCUGGGCGUCACACGUCGUUGCCCCCCCAUCUACUCCUUCGGGAUUGCGGGGGGCGGAUGAUGGCCUCCCGUGCGCCUCGUCGCGCGGUUGGCAUAAAUGCCAAGUCCUCGGCGACGGACGCCACGACAAUCGGUGGUUGCGAAACCUCGGUUGCCCGUCGUGUGCGGUCGUCGCGCAUCGAGGGCUCGAAAAAAUUGCCGGGCUCCGGCUCGGCUUUCAACGCGACCCCAGGUCAGGCGGGGUUACCCGCUGAAUUUAAGCAUAUCAAUAAGCGGAGGA